rnacentral:sRNA from 1 species
UGCAUUUGAAGCCCAUGAGGAUGAGAACCUCCGGGGGCGGGGAAGUUCGACUCGAGCGAAGCGAGAGAACGUUGCGCCAGCAACGGCCCGCAGGGCGAGCCACGAAGUGGCGAGUAAUCCUCUAUCACCGACCA